rnacentral:rRNA from 1 species
GACGAACGCUGGCGGCGUGCUUAACACAUGCAAGUCGAGCGGUAAGGCCCCUUCGGGGGUACACGAGCGGCGAACGGGUGAGUAACACGUGAGCAACCUGCCCUUCACAUUGGGAUAACCCCGGGAAACCGGGGCUAAUACCGAAUACGACCACCGCGGGCAUCUGUGGUGGUGGAAAGCUCCGGCGGUGAAGGAUGGACUCGCGGCCUAUCAGCUUGUUGGUGGGGUAAUGGCCCACCAAGGCGACGACGGGUAGCCGGCCUGAGAGGGUGACCGGCCACACUGGGACUGAGACACGGCCCAGACUCCUACGGGAGGCAGCAGUGGGGAAUAUUGGACAAUGGGCGAAAGCCUGAUCCAGCAACCGCCGUGUGAGGGAUGACGCUCGUUGUACUACUUCU